rnacentral:rRNA from 1 species
AUGGAGGGAACGAGUAAUGCUAGAUAUAAGAGUCUACUACUUAACUUGCAGCAUACGCAUGGUCUUUUAGAUUUGCAAGAAUUUCGUACGAAACAAAGUCAUAUGUUUUCAGUCUUAGAACAAAUAAAACAACUUGUUUAUUUUCUUCUGCACAAUCCAUCUGCAACAUCUCAAAGUAUCAACCAAUUAGGUAGUACCGCUGUAGCAUGUGGGUAG